CGCGGGAUAGAGCAGCUCGGUAGCUCGUCGGGCUCAUAACCCGAAGGUCGUCGGUUCAAAUCCGGCUCCCGCAACCA
rnacentral:tRNA from 21 species